AUUCCAGCUCCAAUAGCGUAUAUUAAAGUUGUUGCAGUUAAAAAGCUCGUAGUUGGAUUUCUGUUUUGAAUGUCCGGUCGGUUUAUUAAUUUAAAUGUGUACUAUGGAUAUUUGGAUCAUAUAUUGUGAGAGCCUGUUACUGUCAUUAAGUUGUCGGGUAGGCAAUCUCCAUCUUUUACUGUGAAAAAAUUAGAGUGUUCAAAGCAGGCUUAUGCCGUUGAAUAUAUUAGCAUGGAAUAAUAAGAUAGGACUAUGGUACUAUUUUGUUGGUUUGUGCACCAUGGUAAUGAUUAAUAGGGACAGUUGGGGGUAUUCGUAUUCCAUUGUCAGAGGUGAAAUUCUUGGAUUUAUGGAAGACGAACUACUGCGAAAGCAUUUACCAAGGAUGUUUUCAUUA
rnacentral:rRNA from 1 species